rnacentral:rRNA from 1 species
CUAUACAUGCAGUCGAGCGAACAGAUGAAGUGCUUGCACUUCUGACGUUAGCGGCGAACGGGUGAGUAACACGUAAGGAAUCUACCUAUAAGCGGGGGAUAACAUUCGGAAACGGGUGCUAAUACCGCAUAAUAUCUUCUUCCGCAUGGAAGAAGAUUGAAAGACGGCUCUGCUGUCACUUAUAGAUGACCUUGCGGUGCAUUAGUUAGUUGGUGGGGUAACGGCCUACCAAGACGAUGAUGCAUAGCCGACCUGAGAGGGUGAUCGGCCACAUUGGGACUGAGACACGGCCCAAACUCCUACGGGAGGCAGCAGUAGGGAAUCUUCCGCAAUGGGCGAAAGCCUGACGGAGCAAUGCCGCGUGAGUGAAGAAGGCCUUCGGGUCGUAAAACUCUGUUAUAAGAGAAGAACAAAUUGUAGAGUAACUGCUACAGUCUUGACGGUAUCUUAUCAGAAAGCCACGGCUAACUACGUGCCAGCAGCCGCGGUAAUACGUAGGUGGCAAGCGUUGUCCGGAUUUAUUGGGCGUAAAGGGAGCGCAGGUGGUUUCUUAAGUCUGAUGUGAAAGCCCACGGCUUAACCGUGGAGGGUCAUUGGAAACUGGGAAACUUGAGUACAGAAGAGGAAUGUGGAACUCCAUGUGUAGCGGUGGAAUGCGUAGAUAUAUGGAAGAACACCAGUGGCGAAGGCGACAUUCUGGUCUGUUACUGACACUGAGGCUCGAAAGCGUGGGGAGCAAACAGGAUUAGAUACCCUGGUAGUCCACGCCGUAAACGAUGAGUGCUAGGUGUUGGAGGG